CAGUCCUGACCUUGUCAGCUCGCUCUGCCCUUAUCUUCCCGCAAGCACUAAUGACUCUGUAAUAAUCAUCCCUGAGCCUGAGACAAAAAUAAACAGGAGCUUUAGGCAGGCACCGCUUCCUCUCCUCCUCCUCCAUCUAUGCAUUUCAUGGGAGAGUUGGCUUAUUUGCAGCCUAAGGAUUUGGGUUUCAUGGAAACGAUCUGCCCAGUCUCUCUGAUAAGAGGACGCACCCAAGAAAUCCUGCCCUUGUCCUGGCCACUGAAGGAAGCCGCAGCCCGGGAACCAGUGCACCUGCUUGGAGCGGGAGCUGUCCCCUCACCCAGCUUUCUGCAGCACGAGGAGUGGUUGCGUUCAGAAGCCAAGGAGCAGGUACCUACCCCGACCACUUCUGCUGCUGCAGUGCAAGCGUAACCCUGCACUGCCUAUGUGCAUGCUUGCGUGCACGCGUGCUUCAGUGAUGACACUCCUCCUGCACACAGCCGGGAGCCAGAGGCUGAUGAGGACAGUGCUGAGAGAACUCCCUUAAGCAACUGAAAUCCCUGGGCCAUAAAUCUAAUAUCUUCCAGGACUGCAGUCUGGUACUUUGGCCCACCUAUCUUUAGGAAAUGGCUGUGACUUUGGGGGAUUCUGCUUCAUCUCUGUUUGUUUGCACAGAUAUAUUUUGCAUAUAAGCAGCAAGGAAGCAGGAACUGAUGAAAGACAGGGAAGUCUGUGGUGUAUGGAUGAAGAUACUGCACUGUGCUUAUGUGGGCUAACGCUUGCAAGCUCUCUAGAAGGGUUAAGAUGUGUGCCUAAGCCAGCAGGGAUAAAUCAAAAAAAAAUCUUUUCUCUUGAGCCUCUCUUUAUCUACAUAUAUGGCCUUCAGCACUGUCUCCCACAAGAUUACAAAUGUAUUCCUGCAGCUCCUUGCAAAAGAGCCAGGAUUUGACUGAAUCUUUUCAGAAUAUUUUAGGUACAAGAUCAUCCUACACUUAGCUUGAACUCUGAAUGAAACCCUUCUGAAUGCUAGGAAAGCAUCAUUUAACCAGGGUUUUUAUUUUCUGCAUGCUUCAGUUCUUCAGUCAGGAUACCUGGCACACCACAAAAGCCUUUAUUUACUGGGCUGGAUUUCUGAUGCAUCCAGAAAUGGAAGUGAAAUGUUGCUUGAUGCCCUGAGAUCCCUUUGCAACUCUCAACCCACAUGGCCACCUUGGAAAGUGUGACCGGCUCCAUGGCUCACUUUGAAAACAAAACACACCCUCCUCUUCUCUACUGACUGAUCCACAGCCCAUCACUAUUAUUUUUCUCUGCUCCCCUUGAGGAUGGAGCUACAUUUCCUUAGCAUGCACAGAUGAGUAAUUCUGCAGAAAGCUAGAAAUCUUGUUCAGUAUUACUUGGUAAAUGAGAAGUAAAAAAAGCUGGGCAACUGCUUCGUGCAAUGAGGAUCUCUGCUAUGGUACGGGUGUUUCACAGAGCUCAGUACAAAUGCACUGAAGUGCCUGGGAGCCUUGCUAGCAAAAGAGGGUUAGGCCUUUUCUCUACUGAGUAGUCCCAGAGUUGUUGUGCCUCAUUUCAGUGAGGUGCUGACCACAGUGUUUUCUCUCUGGCAGGUGAUAGGUUAGAGGACUGCAACAUACAGUGGGACCAAAGUCAGUUAUCAAUACUGUUAACAGUUGAAGUCAGGGUUUCAUACUACAGCUCACCCCAACAGGAGCCAAGGGCUCAUGUGUAUGGUAGGAAUCAGAAAUGUACUCACACCCAGAGCAUGAAGCAGGACUCGUUUGCUUGGGCAUGGCUGCACAUUAGGAUGCCUGUAUGGACCUGAAAGACAUGUCAGCUGACUUGGGAGUUCAGGAAGACAUAACUUUCAGCUGAUCGUUUGAUGCUGUGGAUGUAUGUCCAUACAUCUCCACGCCAAAGUAGCAGCAAAGCCGUUGUUGACCUUCCUGGUGUCUUCUAUGCUAUUAUAUUUUCAGAACCAAAUGGGCAGUUUGGCCAUAAAGUCCCGAGAAUGUAUGGAAAUCAAAUGACAAAUUCCAACCAGCGCAUAACAUAAUUAAUGCACAGUUAAUUAUCCUGGAUGGAAGCCUAGCUAGAGGAUUGUAGCAUGUAGAGACAUCAUGCACUGUAAAAAUAGAAACAAGAUAAACUUAUGAUAUUAAAAAAGCUAGUUUUUAAUGGAGGAGAUGCUAAAAUAUUAUAAACACCCAGAAAGACUAAACAAAGCCACAGGCUGCAGAGGAACUAUAUUUGUCAAAAAGAGGUUUUGAUGUGUCUUUCUGGACUGUUUCCUCACCAACUUUCCCCUGAUAGUAGGGUGUCGAGAUUGUGCUGUAGUCCUUCCAGGGCUGUAGCACAGCUUAUGGCACAGGCAAAAUUAAUUCCUGCCCAACAUACGCAACCAAAUGGUGUUUUUCUUACAGAACAAGGUACAGCACCAAACUUUGGGGCAAGGACACAGAUGAGGGUUGGAAACCCUGACUGCACUUGUUCAUACUUGCACUGUCCAAGCAGCUAAUGCUUCUCCACCUCUGAAGUGAACCAAGGGGGCUCUCUAUGCUCAUCCAGGGCCAAACACAAACCUCAGGGAUAAGGCAUAUUGGGAUUGGGAUAAGGCAUAAAGCAGCCCCUGGGUUGGAGCUUGGAUGGGGUCCUUGAGGAGCUGUAGGCUGAGACCACCUGCCUGACAUCUUCUCCUGGUUGAGCCAGCCAACACUGACCUUCCGCCCUGCAGGCAGGAGAGGUCUUUCAUUCAUACAGCCUCCAUGGCGGGGACAUUUGUGGACUGCUUCUGUAAAACAACCAACUUUGCACAGCUUUGUCUCUUUGCCCGAAUCCUUGGCAUCCUGAAAGGCUGGACAUGGCUUACAAGAUUUGGUUCUUUCUGCAGCUUAUCCCAGAAGCUGCUCCUGCUUACCACACAAGUAACUGCAUCUGUGGGAAACAGUCACUAACCUGAUGCUAAGAAGAAGAAUCUUAGAUUGAAAAAAGAAUCUCAGGAUCUAAGGUGAUGCAUGAUAAGUUUGCACUGUGUGAUAUGUUACCCUUCUGAGCAGGGAACUGAACUGAAUUCAGAAACCGAAGGAGACCCGGCCAUCCCCACCCAGUGUUGUACACAAGCGUCUCUCCUUCGUAGCCAGGCAAGAAAACUGCUGUGGCUAAGGCAGGCUGAAAUUGCACACGAUGAAGCAAAACCACAAGAAGUCUAUUCACUUGGAGUAUAGGAGCUGGAUAUGAAUCCAGGGUAUUGAAGAACUAGUUUGUAACACUCUGGAUUUAAUAUAGAUCUUCAUUUGUGACCUCAAGUAAUGUGCAAGAAGAGUACAGCUUGUAACCCUGAAGUUCAUGUUUUGAUUUUAAGAUCACAAGAAACUAAACUAAAAUCUCUUUAAAGGAUUGUUUCAGUUUAAAAAUGGGGUUUCUUUCCAUGGUACAUUUUUCUAGCUAUGAGAUUUAUGUAUUGUACUUGUAUUGAAGGUGUAUGUCCCCUUCAGUUUUAUUAGUGAGGGAUGCUAAAUAAUUUUGCUUUAGGAACUAAGCUGGAAAAUGGGUGGACUUCAGCCUUAAUGCAUUUACAUACCUAUGCUUGCCACUUCCUAUUUUUUCUGUAUUUGAAUGACUAGAACAACUUUGUUUUAAAGUAGUUUGUAUACACAUAAUAUAUUCAUAUGUAGUCAUUUAAUUAUGGUUACAUUUUGGUAGCACAGUCAUACAGUAGUUUAAGAUGUGCUGGAAACCAAAUGUCCUUGGUUAGCUUCUAAAUCACUGACUAAUGCUCAGAUUUUAUGCCCCUGUUUAAGUUUUACUGACUUGAAGGAAGAGCACGGGUCAAUUAAUUCUCAUAACAGGAAGUAACUGCGUUGCUGUUCCAAUCAAGUCUGCAGAGAAAAACAUCAUGCUAUUUCCAAAGAAAACAACUAUUCUACCAACCCUGAGUCCUGGACAAUUUAUUUAGUGUCAAUUUGUAACAGUGUCCAAGAUCUGAGCUGCCACAUCUAUGCAUUUAAUGUCAUGAAACUGGACAUAAUUGCUUGUCAAGAGUGUUACAAAGUCCUUUAACGACCUUAUUCCCUCUAGGAGGGGAGGCAAACUGGCACCUGUGAUCUGUAUGGCAGGAGCUUUGCUUGCACAGCCCUGGUGCAGUACAUGCACAUCAUUUGUUUCUCAGCCCUCAAAUAUCAUGAGAUAAUCCUGAUAGAUUUUCCCCGAUGACUUGCUGGGGAGCUGCUCACAUGUUGUGCAGCCAUUCCACGGUUCAUUAUCUGAAUUCCAAGUAUGGUCCUGUGUGUUAAGUACUUCAAACUGUUCAGAUUCUGCUCUAAAUAAAAGGGUAGGAUUAGAUAGGAAAUUCUUCAUGCUCAUAACAUCCUCCAGCCAUGCUCAUUACAGUAUUAUCUGAGGUCUACAUCUAAAAAAAGGAGGUGUGACAAUACUGAGUAUGGUAGUGACUGGCUUCCAGACAACUGGCAGCCCGAAGAUGUUUCCAGCCUGCAGGUGAGACCUCCAGGCACUUUAUUCAGUGCUAAAAACACCUGGGUACCUAGAAGAGGAGGCACCAGCACUAAGGUGAUAUAAAGGUGUAAUUAAAAAUUUUAUACUUUUCUCACACUUUGCUGCCCUCUAGUCCUCAAUAUCGUCCAGGGAAAGGUGAUGACUAAAUGCUUAUAAAAGGAGAUCAUUAAAUGUUUUUUUUUCUUCUCAGAGAGAAAGCAGCUCUCAUAGCCAGCAAUACAAUGUAUGGAGCAUUCACCCAGGAUGUAGGCAACAUAGAUUAAAUUUCUUUCCCUUGCUGUGAAAAAAAGUCCCACCAAUUUCAUACAUAUUCUCAGUUCUUCUCUGAUUCAGUGAUUGUGCAUGAGGUUAAAUCCUAGGUGCUCCUUGCAAACCACGCACGCUUGCUGGUUCCACUUCCCCCUUCCCCCACAGCCUUUGCAUCAUACUGUGUCUUCACUGGAAGUAUUAAUACUGUUUUUGCCAUUACCCACAUGCUGAGAACCAGUAGAAGACCCAAAGAUAAAUCUUGCCAGAAUUCAUUUAGACAAUGACUUAUUUCACUUCCGGUUUUAAAAUUUAAAUAAGCCAUCUUUCACAUACGGCCACUGCUUUGCAUGAUGCUCUGCAUAUGGAUCUGUGAGUAAUGCCUCAGCAGAGCGCAGGUGCCUGAGAUUUGCUUCCCAGCCUCUUCUCCUGUCACAGGCAAGAUCUGGGCCAUCACUGAGCAGUUAAAGAGAGAAGAGAGAAAUCCCCAUGACAGCUGCCUGUAGACAGAGAAAAGGCAGGGCUGGUGGAUGGCAUUUUAUCGAUUGCGAUGCAGUCAUACGCUUUCCUAUGAACUGAUGCAAUGUCACUGUAAAGCAACAUUGGAAGAUGCUUUCUGCUGAGCUCUGAUGCCGGCUUGGAAGAUAUCGUGGCCAUUUACCUCCUGAACAUGAAGUAACUUGCUUUAGUGAGUAUGCGACUAGAAAGCUAUGGUUGCAAACUGUACGGGUUUACAUUUGAGGUAGCAAGGCUUUCAGCAUUUAAAAUUAGCAAGCCAUAGUUGAAGGUUAAUUUGUUAUGUAUUUAUGCCUAAAUUUUCAGUGGACAAGAUUCACAUCCCUCACUUGUGAAUGUGGAGUAACUCCAGCAAGUUGCACAGGAUUACUGCAGGUCAGACAUGCUGCAACUGGGCACCUUUCCAGAAAUGCACCACUUUUGUAAGCAUUUCAUCUAUGAAGAGAGUUGUAUGUCCCUUUGCAGAGAGCAGAAUAUUUGCAUGAAGAGUAAAGCAGUAGCACAUUAGGCUGAUCAGGAUUUGUCUAAAUCAGAAUUUCUGUUUCUGCUCUAACUUAAGCCAGUCAGUUAUGUCUAAUGAGCUAGCACAGUUACGGAUGCUAGCCCAGAUGAGAUUGAACCAGAGAAAAGCUGGUGUUUCUAACUCAUCAUCUGCAACUUUAUGAGGGAAGAAUCAGAUGCUCUUUUAUGAAUAUGACUGAGAAAGUUUAAGAAUUAAUGUCUCCAGAAAAAAAAAAAAAGGAGCUGAUGAGGCAAGCAGUACUCCCUUGCUUCAAUGAAAAAUCAGCCUUUUUGGUGUGAGUUAACUCAUAAUCAUCUACUUUGAAUUACAACACAACAAAAAUUAUUUCUCCCAGUCUUUUUUAUAGACAGGAAAAGAAAUAAUUAGCACAAGAAGACACAACUGUGAAGGGCGGCUUUAGUUCAACCAUGUAGUCUUCUGCAUUAGCUACAUGUAGAAUUCAGUAUUUUAAUGGGAAAUGAAAGCUUUUACAACAUUCCUCAUUUUAUAAACGAUUCUGUAGCCACUGGCAAAUAGGGUUAUGUAAAGGCAUAACUCAUGGGAUACUAUAUUAAAAACAACAAAUUGAUGGGGAAGAUCCCUUUAAAGGUUUCAAAUUUUCUUCAGAUUAGAUAAAAUUAUCAAGGACUUGCAUUUAGAAGCUUUGUUAGAAUAAUUUCCUUUUAACACUGAAUGACAGACUCCCUUAAAGUAGCAGAAAAGCAGAAAAUAAAAAGGAAAAGAAUCUAUUAGAAAGGAAGGAAAAAUUUGGAUGCCAGGAAAAUAAUCAUAUUCUCAAUUUCCUAGCUAGAAAUUGUAUGAAGAGUGAUACACUAUAAUCUCUUAGACUGGCUCUGUAAAAUUAUAUAUCCAAUUCUCAUCAAAAGUGGUUCAGAAGAAAAAACUAUGCAAAACGGAUACUGCUACUUGACAAAUCCAAGAUCUGAAUGGCACACAUCGUUGCUUUCUGAGCACUGUGAAAUGCAGGAGAAAAGCUACUGUUGAUGUUCUUGCUUCUUCUAUUACCUUUUGGAGGAAAGAAUGACCUCCUACCCAAAUACAUGCUAGCUCAAUCACUGAUGAAUCAGGAGGCCCUCCCAUAUUUCCAUCAAAGAGUCUUGAACAUCUGCAGAAUUUGAGCUUUAUUUUUUAAACAAAAUCAUUUCUAGUCUCUGUGUUUGAAGAGAAAAAAUAUUCCAAGUGUGAACUGAGCGCAAAAUUCUCUGCUAUUAGCAGAAAUACUAAAUCAAUAGCCUUAUGAAAGAUGAACUCCCUCCCCAUCUCCCGCCUUUCAUCUCAGUAAUCUGUGGACUCUGAAGAUUGUCUCUGAAGGGUGAUUUUAGCGUCAAUUUUGUUACCAAUUUAUUUUACUGACAAAGAACAUAGAAGAACACGGAAAUAGGACUGAGCAGCGACAUUUAGGUCACUGAAUUCAGUCCCCUGCCAUAGCAGUACUGCAACACACAACCCGUCCCAUAAAUACAGAGAACUCUUCUUUAAAGCUACCAAUGUUUUUGGCACACACUAUUCUGAUUAAAGGCUUCCCUGCUCCAGGGUGGCAGGCACUUUCUUCUAAAACUAAGGCCAAAUGCGCUCAUGAUCAGUUUAUACCCAUUUGAUCACGUGCCAGGAUCAUUCUUCAGUGUAAAUACUUCUCUUUUCCUGAUGUUAACCCUGCAAUGUAUUUGACAGUAACUGGAUCCCUCUCAGCCUUCCUUUGCCAGACUAAACAUGCUAAGCUCUGUUACUCUCCUCAGCGCUGGCCCCCUGGUUUCUCAGUCCUACCAGUGACCUUCCUCUGCUCAGGCUGAGUUCAUCUUUCUUGAAACAGAGGACCAAAAUUUUAUGUACUAUUUCAAAUAAACUCACCAGUGUACUGUGCAAA